AGUGCGGCCCACAUGGGUCGAAGUGUAGUAUUUGUUCUUAUCUGCUUAAUAUCUGAUACUGCUGGUAUUUGGAUCUAACAUAAUAAACUUAUUUUUACAAUGUGGCGGAGUGCUUUAAGUCUGCUUCACCUCCACGGCUGGUAGGCCUGGUAUUGCACUAUAUUCGGCAUCGGCCCACCACGA